rnacentral:lncRNA from 1 species
GAGCUAAAGAAAACACAAUUAUACUGCUUAUUAGAUCGCUAGUGUUGCACUUGCCAGUCUAUGAAAAUUUGUCAACACCUAACUCUUCUGGGUGCCUCUUCAUUGUUCUGUUGGCUCAUUUUCGGAAAAGCCAAAGUUUUGCAUCGUUUCUGGAAAAUUCAGAGUAUUAGGCCAGUGGGAGCACGUACUGAUAAUCACCAUUGCAUCAGUUCUGCAUACAUGCCAGUGGUGGCAACUGCAAGUUUGUGAAAGAAAUAUUUCACCCAAAUGAUCCAGCAAAAAAAAAUCAAGAAUAUAAUUUUGAGGCUGGGAAAGGGGGGGAGUUAUAAAAGAAAUCAAUAUCAGAAGAACUAAUUUUCAAAGCCUUUAAGGUACUUACGAGCACACUAAGAUGCGAUUUUUCCAGUUGUCAUCUUCAAGUCUAGUCUAACUACAAGAACCUGUCAUGAUGAGUGCAAUGCAUGAAAUGAGAGACUAUUUCACAACCAAGACAAGACACAAUUAACAACUAAGCUGAAAUAAGGUAAUUCCUAUUUUUAGACUUGUGCUAGAACAUUACACACCAUCAGACCAGAAUGACUAAUACUUCACAAUGCUAGAAAAAAAAAAGAACAUACUAAAAUCAUGCUAACAAACACCAAAUCAUGACAAGAACCAAUAGUAACACCAAAUAACACAUUCAAACACUAAGAACUUAUCAAGGAACCUAGAAAGUAGAAACACACCAUUUUAAACUCUUCAUCACCACUCUUUGAGACCAAUUUUCGCUGCUGGGGCUUACCCUCUGAGAAAUUUCUCCUCUUUAACCUUAGUGAACCCUUACCUGGUUGCGAUAAAUCCAACAACAAGCCAAGAAUGAAGCCAAUGGCAACUCCUGGAGGAAAUUCUCUGGCUUAAAACUCAAAUUCAACCAUUACAUUUGCCAUGUGAGUUGUGUAAGGUUGCUUUUGCUUCAAUUUGAUGUAGUUUCUAUAGGGUUGAA